GUGAUAAAAUUUAAAAUGUCUUUGACAAUCAGCUCCCUGUGCAUUAAAAAGAUUGCAAUUCACAAGCAACUUUCAAUGGAAAAUAUAAGAAAACUUAUUACAGAAGCUGAUGGGUACCAACCUCAUCUUAUAGCUCCAAAACAAGGAUACCGUCGUCUCAUUGAAUCCACUCUAGUUACUAUCAGGCGCCCUGCCUAGGCAGCUGUUGAUGUGGUUCAUUCCCUAUUAAAGGACCUGGUUCACAAAGCUAUUAGCGAGACUCUGCAACUAUUCUGCCCUCAACAGUGGUAGAG